rnacentral:rRNA from 1 species
UACGGAGGGUGCAAGCGUUGUCCGGAUUUAUUGGGUUUAAAGGGUGCGUAGGUGGUACAGUAAGUCUGGUUUGAAAGCAAGCGGCUUAACCGUUUGAUGUGGCUGGAAACUGUUGUACUUGAAUGGGUUGGCGGUAGCCGGAACGGGUCAUGUAGCGGUGAAAUGCAUAGAUAUGACCCAGAACACCGAUUGCGAAGGCAGGCUACUACGACUUGAUUGACACUGAGGCACGAGAGCAUGGGUAGCGAACAGG